GAUGAACGCUGGCGGCGUGCCUAAUACAUGCAAGUCGAGCGAACAGAUAAGGAGCUUGCUCCUUUGACGUUAGCGGCGGACGGGUGAGUAACACGUGGGUAACCUACCUAUAAGACUGGAGUAACUCCGGGAAACCGGGGCUAAUGCCGGAUAACAUUUAGAACCGCAUGGUUCUAAAGUGAAAGAUGGUUUUGCUAUCACUUAUAGAUGGACCCGCGCCGUAUUAGCUAGUUGGUAAGGUAACGGCUUACCAAGGCAACGAUACGUAGCCGACCUGAGAGGGUGAUCGGCCACACUGGAACUGAGACACGGUCCAGACUCCUACGGGAGGCAGCAGUAGGGAAUCUUCCGCAAUGGGCGAAAGCCUGACGGAGCAACGCCGCGUGAGUGAUGAAGGUCUUCGGAUCGUAAAACUCUGUUAUUAGGGAAGAACAAAUGUGUAAGUAACUGUGCACGUCUUGACGGUACCUAAUCAGAAAGCCACGGCUAACUACGUG
rnacentral:rRNA from 1 species